rnacentral:rRNA from 1 species
GGUAAAAAAGCUCGUAGUUGGAUUUCUGUUGAGGACGACCGGUCCAUACAACGUAUGCGCAUCUGGUUCGGCCUCGGCAUCCUCUCGAAAGACGUUUCUGCGCUUGAUUGCGUGGAGCGGAUCUCGGGACUUUUACUUUGAGGAAAUUAGAGUGUUCACGGCAGGCUAUCGCCAGAAUACAUUAGCAUGGAAUAAUACUAUAGGAUCUUGAUUCUAUUUUGUUGGUUUCUAGAAUUGAGAUAAUGAUUAAUAGGGACAAUUGGGGGCAUUCGUAUCAACACGUCAGAGGUGGAAUUCUUGGAUUGUGUUGCGACGAACUACUGCGAAAGCAUUUGCCAAGGAUGUUUUCAUUGAUCAAGAACGAAAGUAAGGGGAUCGAAGACGAUUAGAUACCGUCGUAGUCUUUACCAUAAACUAUGCCAACUAGAGAUGGGGCAUCGUUCACUUACGACUUGCUCCACACCUUAUGAGAUAUCAAAGUCUUUGGGUUCCGGGGGGAGUAUGGUCGCAAGGCUGAAACUUAAAGGAAUUGACGGAAGGGCACCACCAGGAGUGGAGCCUGCGGCUUAAUUUGACUCAACACGGGGAAACUCACCAGGUCCAGACAUAAUAAGGAUUGACAGAUUGAUAGCUCUUUCUUGAUUUUAUGGGUGGUGGUGCAUGGCCGUUCUUAGUUCGUGGAGUGAUUUGUCUGCUUAAUUGCGUUAAC